rnacentral:rRNA from 1 species
UACGUAGGGUGCGAGCGUUGUCCGGAAUUAUUGGGCGUGAAGAGCUCGUAGGCGGUCUGUCGCGUCGAUCGUGAAAACUUGGGGCUUAACCCUGAGCUUGCGGUCGAUACGGGCAUGACUGGAGUUCGGCAGGGGAGACUGGAAUUCCUGGUGUAGCGGUGAAAUGCGCAGAUAUCAGGAGGAACACCGAUGGCGAAGGCAGGUCUCUGGGCCACUACUGACGCUGAGAAGCGAAAGCAUGGGGAGCGAACAGG